rnacentral:rRNA from 1 species
GACAGAGGUGCCGAGCGUUAGGCGGAAUCACUGGGCUUAAAGCGUGUGUAGGCGGGCCGUUAAGUGCCCCGUGAAAUCCCCCGGCUCAACCGGGGAACGGCGGGGCAUACUGGCGGCCUUGAGCCACUUAAGGGCAGACGGAACAAGCGGUGGAGCGGUGAAAUGCGUUGAUAUCGGCUGGAACUCCGAUGGCGAAGGCAAGGUGCUGGACCCUCUCUGACGCUGAGGCGCGAAAGCCAGGGGAGCGAACGGGG